rnacentral:rRNA from 1 species
UACAGAGGGGCAAGCGUUAUUCGGAAUUAUUGGGCGUAAAGGGCGCGUAGGCGGCAUGACAAGUGGAAGGGUGAAAUCCCCUCGGCUUAACCGGGGAACUGCCUUCCGAAACUGUUUUGCUUGAGUCCGGGAGAGGUCAGUGGAAUUCCCAGUGUAGCGGUGAAAUGCGUAGAUAUUGGGAGGAACACCAGUGGCGAAGGCGACUGACUGGACCGGUACUGACGCUGAGGCGCGGAAAGCGAUGGGGAGCGAACGAGGA